CUUUUCAAAUAUAUUCUGACAUUCUGAAAUGUAUUUGCCAGUACAGUUUGUGAAAAGCAGCAUGAACUAGAACUUAGUUAUGAGAUACUAGAGGAAGCUUGAUGUUGAAACUUUUCUUCUGCAGCCUGCAGUGUCGGAUAUUGUGGAGGGACAGGAAGUUGUCAGAGCUCAAUGCUUCAGAUCCAUGAAGAAAAAUGAGGAACCGCACAAGCUGCAGAUAUCACUGGAUGUUGGAAAAGAAAAGGCUGAAUUAUUGGAUUAUUCCUGUAGCUGUGCAGCUGGUAAAGGUUUUUGCAAUCAUGUAGUUGAACUUCUUUACCAAACUGCACACUAAUCCCAACUCCAGCUGCCAACUGAUCCUCCUGCACAACUGAUUUACUAAGAUGGUACAAACCAAGAACACAGGACCACUUCCAGAUCCUGACAUUCUGGCAUCAGGAGAAAAACUACGCCAGCUGGAGUCCCAAAAACGUAUGGCUCUUGUCCUGGAUG